rnacentral:lncRNA from 1 species
UCAGUUUCUCACCACAGUAUUCUAACAGAACAUCUUAGUACAAAUUGAUUUCCAGAACAUUUUUUGAGAAGUCACAAAUUGUGACUUCAGCCAGUUAACAUGAUUGAGGCAUACUGAAUAAACAACAAAGCCAUGCCAUGUCCCCAAUAAAUAGAGAUCAAACUUCUCAUCAACAGAAGGUGCCCUUUUCUAUGAUGCAAAUCGUUGUCCAUGGAUCAUAGAGCUACAAUUUUAAGAUUCCUAUUCUGCCUUUUGCAUUAUUAGCAAAAAGGAAAAAUCUAUCUAAUUAUUGGCAUUGAUGAAUUUUGAAAUUCAAAAUAAUCUUGGUUUUAAAAAAGAAAAUUUUAAAAAUUACUCCUUUCUAAAUAAAAUGAAAAUCAAUUCCAUAUAAAUACUUUAAAUCAAACACAAGCAACGAUGCAUCCCUACUGGACCCUUACCCGGGCCUCUGAUAGACCCCAAAUUAUACACCAGUACAGUAGAAGGAAGAAGAAGCAAGGUUAACCGCACGUGCCAGGGAGAAUAGCCUUAAUAGCUUUAAUAUUGUUAGUACAUAAUUCCGUAAUAAAAUAAAAGAGUAUAAAUAGGAGUUUGUUAUGGAGAGAGAAAGUUAGUUAGAGUAUAAAUAGGAGUUUGUUAUGGAGAGAGAAAGCUAGUUAGAGUAUAAAUAGGAGUUUGUUAUCGAGAGAGAGGGGAGUGAGAAUUUUGUGGUAGGCUCAGGAUUUUCCAAGAGGAAAAAAAGAGAGCAGAGGAGAGUCUUUCGUUUCCGAAUUGAGCAUCCUCAAUUCGUUUUACAUUGUAAUUUCGUUAGUUUUCAGGAUUAAUACUAUCGUAACGAGGCUGUUCCUACUUAUUCGGUUUCAAUCAAGAGGAGUUCCAUCAUUUGGUAUCAAAGCUCGUCGAAUCUGGGCAAGGAGAGAACUAUGGUUAACACGCGAUCGGAAGAGAGAAUGGAAGUUCACGGUCAGGAAAUGUUGCUGAUGAAGAAAGAAGUGAGUAAAAUUUCGGCGAUCGAAGAAAGCUUAACAGAGAUCAGUCAACAAACCGAAAAGACGCAUCAAAUGCUGAUGAUACUCAUGGAUUCUAUUGCGAAAGAAGGGACGACAACCAGUGAGAAGUUGGCAGACUACGGCGCACAGGAAACUGGAUGCAAAAAAAAUAAUGAUGGAACUUCUCUUGAUCGAAACCGAACAAGUAGGAACAGCCUCAUUACGAUAGUAUUAAUCCCGAAAACUAACGAAAUUACAAUGUAAAACGAAUUGAGGAUGCUCAAUUCGGAAACGAAGGACUCUCCUCUGCUCUCUUUUUUUCCUCUUGGAAAAUCCUGAGCUUACCACAAAAUUCUCACUCCCCUCUCUCUCUCUCGAUAACAAACUCCUAUUUAUACUCUAACUAGCUUUCUCUCUCCAUAACAAACUCCUAUUUAUACUCUAACUAACUUUCUCUCUCCAUAACAAACUCCUAUUUAUACUCUAUUAUUUAUUAUGGAAUUAUCUACUAACAAUAUUAAAUCUAUUAAGGCUAUUCUCCCUGGCACGUGCGGUUAACCUUGCUUCUUCUUCCUUCUACUGUACUGGUGUAUAAUUGGGGGUCUAUCAUUACAUUCCCUUUCCUUUACAUCGAUGACCAUGAAAGUACUUUUCAUUACAGCGAAAGCAAAGUCCCUUCUCUUUUCGGGCUUGAAACUCUGCAUCGGGUAGUCUCUUCGUCGGGCCUUCUUUCUUAACUUCUCCAGCCAUUGUUCUUAAUGUCACCAUCCUCAUCGAAAAUAUGGUAUUUCCUUUGUUCUCACUGUUAUUCAUCAUUGCACUACUUUUGAUGUUUGAAGAGUUUGGAGGGGGGUAUGAUGACCCUACCAGUCUUGGCAUUGCCAGACUUCAGUAGAACCUUUGAAUUGGAAACAGAUGCAUCGGGGUAUCGCAUAGGAGUUGUGUUAAUGCAAGCCAAGAAGCCGAUUGCCUACUUCAGCCACACCUUGGCAGUAAGGGACAGAGUAAAGCCCGUAUAUGAAAGACAAUUAAUGGCCGUGGUCAUGGCUGUACAGAGGUGGAGACCGUACUUACUCGAGAAACCAUUCAUAGUAGGGACUGACCAGAAAUCAUUGAAGUUUUUACUAGAGCAGAGAGUAAUUCAACCUCAGUACCAAAAGUGGGUAGCCAAGCUAUUGGGAUACUCUUUUGAAGUACAAUACAAACCAGGACUAGAGAAUAAAGCCGCUAACGCCUUAUCCCGUGUACCUCCAGCAGUUCAAUUCAGUAGCUUAACGGCACCAGCAUUAAUAGAUUUAUUAGUAGUCAAGAAGGAAGUGGAAGAAGAUACCAGACUUCGCAAAGUAUGGGAAGCACUACAAGCAGGGGAGGAGAAUACUGAAAGAAAAUUUUCUAUCAGACACGGAAUGCUAAGAUACAAUGACAGAUUGGUGUUAUCUCAGUCAUCAGCUUUGAUCCCAGCCAUAUGGUAUACUUAUCAUGAUUCUGUGCUAGGUGGACAUUCUGGUUUUCUAAGAACUUAUAAGAGAAUUACUGAAGAGUUGUAUUGGGCAGGAAUGAAAACUGACAUCAAAAGGUACUGUGAUGAAUGUCUGAUUUGUCAGAAAAAUAAAUCCUUGGCUUUGACCUCGGCUGGGGUAUUACUGCCAUUGGAAGUUCCCAAUAACAUUUGGAGUGAUAUCUCAAUGGACUUCAUUGAGGGGUUGCCGAAAUCAGGUGGCUUUGAAACUAUAUUUGUAGUGGUCGAUAGGUUCAGCAAAUAUGGCCAUUUCCUUGCCUUCAAACAUCCUUUCACAGCGAAAACUGUAGCAAAAGUAUUUGUUAAAGAAAUUGUGCAUCUACACGGAUUUCCUAAAUCCAUCGUAUCAGAUAGAGAUAAGGUAUUUGUGAGUAGCUUUUGGAAAGGAAUGUUCAAGUUGGCUGGCACUAAAUUAAAUAGAAGCACGACAUAUCACCCACAAAGAGAUGGUCAGACAGAAGUGGUCAACAGGAGCGUGGAAACAUAUUUAAGAUGUUUCUGUAGUGAGAAACCAAAGGAAUGGACGAAAUGGCUACACUGGGCAGAGUAUUGGUACAAUACCACCUUCCACCGGUCAUUGGGAAUCACUCCUUUUCAGGCUGUAUAUGGUCGCACACCCCCUCCGUUAAUAUACUAUGGGGAUCAAAGCACAUCUAACUUCCUGUUAGAUGAACAACUCAAGGCAAGGGAUGAAGUCUUGGAAGUAUUGAAGGAACACCUUUGAGUGGCUCAAGAUAAAAUGAAAAAGAAUGCAGAUUUGAAGAGAAGAGAUGUGGAUAUAAGGUUGGUGACAUGGUGUUUUUAAAAAUUAGGCCAUACAGGCAAUCUUCCUUGCGUAAGAAAAAGAAUGGGAAACUGUCCCCAAAGUUUUUUGGGCCGUUUGAUGUUACAGAACGAAUAGGAUUGGUAGCAUACAAGCUCCAGUUGCCGAAAUCUUCAUGUAUUCACCCAGUCUUUCAUGUCUCGUAACUUAAAAAGAUGGUGGGGAAUCACACCAUGCUGAAACCAGAAGAAAUGGCCUGUUUAAAUGAAAACUAUGAAUGGUUGGCUAUUCCGGAGGAGAUAUAUGGGUAUUCGAAGAACAAGGAAGGAAUUUGGGAGGUACUGAUUAAAUGGCAGGGGCUAUCACCUCAGGAAGCGUCUUGGGAGGAGUAUGAAGAAUUUCAGAAGAAGUUAAGAAAGAAGGCCCAACGAAGAGACUACCCGAUGCAGAGUUUCAAGCCCGAAAAGAGAAGGGACUUUGCUUUCGCUGUAAUGAAAAGUACUUUCAUGGUCAUCGAUGUAAAGGAAAGGGAAUGUAAUGAUAGACCCCCAAUUAUACACCAGUACAGUAGAAGGAAGAAGAAGCAAGGUUAACUGCACGUGCCAGGGAGAAUAGCCUUAAUAGAUUUAAUAUUGUUAGUAGAUAAUUCCAUAAUAAAUAAUAGAGUAUAAAUAGGAUUUUGUAAUGGAGAGAGAAAGUUAGUUAGAGUAUAAAUAGGAGUUUGUUAUGGAGAGAGAAAGCUAGUUAGAGUAUAAAUAGGAGUUUGUUAUCGAGAGAGAGGGGAGUGAGAAUUUUGUGGGUAAGCUCAGGAUUUUCCGAGAGGAAAAAAAGAGAGCAGGGGAGAGUCUUUCGUUUCCGAAUUGAGGAUCCUCAAUUCGUUUUACAUUGUAAUUUCGUUAGUUUUCAGAAUUAAUACUAUCGUAAUGAGGCUGUUCCUAC